rnacentral:rRNA from 1 species
CCCGGCACAAGCAGUGGAGUAUGUGGUUUAAUUCGAAGCAACGCGAAGAACCUUACCAGGGCUUGACAUCCCCUGACCGCGUAUGAAGUACGUUUUCGACCUCGGGUGACAGGGAGACAGGUGGUGCAUGGUUGUCGUCAGCUCGUGUCGUGAGAUGUUGGGUUAAGUCCCGCAACGAGCGCAACCCUUGUCAUUAGUUGCCAUCAUUUAGUUGGGCACUCUAAUGAGACUGCCGGUGACAAACCGGAGGAAGGUGGGGAUGACGUCAAGUCCUCAUGGCCCUUAUGGGUAGGGCUUCACACGUCAUACAAUGGUCGGUACAGAGGGUUGCCAAGCCGCGAGGUGGAGCCAAUCCCUUAAAGCCGAUCGUAGUCCGGAUCGUAGUCUGCAACUCGACUACGUGAAGUCGGAAUCGCUAGUAAUCGCAGAUCAGCAUGCUGCGGUGAAUACGUUCCCGGGUCUU